GAACGCCCUGCUCCUCGCGCAUUUCCGUUUCCCUUAGGACUCUGGCAGUUGGUGAGCAUCAUGGCAACCGUGAAAUAUACAGAGUCCUCCUUUUUCUGCGGUAAGUCGAGGCCACAAUGGUUUUGGAGAACAGCUGCAACCAAAGAGUCAAUUAGACUCUGAAGGGCAGACAAGGUAUUAGCUAAUUAGCAAUGCUGGCAGAGAAAUCAGUAGACAGACUGCGGAAUGCUGUGAUGGAGGUGGUGAGCCCUGCUAUGCCAGUUCCAAGGCCUACCGUGCAGGCUGCAAGCCCUAUUCCUACGAGGAAUGGAAUUAGUUGCAUAGCUCUUUUUCGUCGGGUAGGUGUCAUUAGGGGGACAAGCACUUGUUCGUUACCAUUGGCAAAUUGGAUCUCAGGAAUAAGGAAGACUGAGGGACAGGUGCCUGUCCAGUUAGUGGCAAACACAUAUAGGUAGAGGAGCCACCUGGGAAGAAAAGGCCAGGGCGAGGCUGAAUUGAAAACGCAGGGUGAAGAGCUGAGAGGGAGUACUGAAAGGGGAAUCAGAUGCCUAAAUUCCUAAAGAUCCAGCGAGGACGGCAGCUGUUAGGGGUUGAAGGGGCGAUGGGUGUGGCAGCUGUGUAGUGGAAGUGGUUUGAUUUCGUAAUGUGUGAGGAAGCGUGUGGUAUCAACAAAUAGCCUCUUCUCACAUUUGUAGGGGUGGGCAUAAGUAAGCAUGAUGAAGGACCAGGAGGAGAAUCUGAGGCACAAGGAGAGGGUCACCAAGGAUGAAGUGAGACACAGGGAAGGUGACUGUUAAUGUUUUUGAGAUGAUUAGUGGUGAUAGAGGGUCUGGCAGUAAAGCUGAGUAAGGGUGCCCUGUAGGCAUAUUAACGUGUGUCGGGACUUUGGAGAUGAAGCGUAAACGCGCAUUUAGAAGGUGGAAGGUUACCUAAGGGGAUUCUAGUGGUUCGUUGACGGGAAAUGCAUAGAGGGCAGCAGUGGGGAUAGUUGUUUGUGUAGUGAGGGGUCCUAGCGUGGGUGGAGUUGAUACGAGGUGGGAGUUGCUGUAAAUGCAUGCAGAGAAGCACAGCAGCUUAUUGGUAUGACACAUCUGAAGAGGUCCUGCUGGGUCUGUUUAAAAAGUAAAGAAGCUCUGUAGGAGGUGGAGGCGGGGACUGUCAAAAGAGGCAGGCAGAUGUAAAGAGACAGGAGAGGUAGCCCCAUCAGCCGGCAAGGCAGGAAUGGCGGCAUAAGAGGAGGAAGAAAGGGAGGAGCAGAGCCAGCAGUUUUUUGCCAACGAUGGGUUGGCAUCAUUGAGGAGGGAAUGAGUUAGAUCGAUAGUAUGUACAAGAGAACUAGGAAAGGCCAGAGAGCAGCAGAACAGGACUGAGA